rnacentral:rRNA from 1 species
AUGGCUCAGAUUGAACGCUGGCGGCAGGCCUAACACAUGCAAGUCGAACGGUAGCACAGAGAGCUUGCUCUCGGGUGACGAGUGGCGGACGGGUGAGUAAUGUCUGGGAAACUGCCUGAUGGAGGGGGACAACUACUGGAAACGGUAGCUAAUACCGCAUAACGUCGCAAGACCAAAGAGGGGGACCUUCGGGCCUCUUGCCAUCAGAUGUGCCCAGAUGGGAUUAGCUAGUAGGUGGGGUAACGGCUCACCUAGGCGACGAUCCCUAGCUGGUCUGAGAGGAUGACCAGCCACACUGGAACUGAGACACGGUCCAGACUCCUACGGGAGGCAGCAGUGGGGAAUAUUGCACAAUGGGCGCAAGCCUGAUGCAGCC